rnacentral:rRNA from 1 species
UGGGGGAUAUUGCACAAUGGGGGAAACCCUGAUGCAGCGACGCCGCGUGGAGGAAGAAGGUUUUCGGAUUGUAAACUCCUGUCGUUAGGGACGAUAAUGACGGUACCUAACAAGAAAGCACCGGCUAACUACGUGCCAGCAGCCGCGGUAAAACGUAGGGUGCAAGCGUUGUCCGGAAUUACUGGGUGUAAAGGGAGCGCAGGCGGACCGGCAAGUUGGAAGUGAAAACCAUGGGCUCAACCCAUGAAUUGCUUUCAAAACUGCUGGCCUUGAGUAGUGCAGAGGUAGGCGGAAUUCCCAGUG